rnacentral:misc_RNA from 1 species
UGGAAGUUAAAAGUCGUAACAAGGUUUCCGUAGGUGAACCUGCGGAAGGAUCAUUACCGAGUGCGGGCUGCCUCCGGGCGCCCAACCUCCCACCCGUGACUACCUAACACUGUUGCUUCGGCGGGGAGCCCCCCAGGGGCGAGCCGCCGGGGACCACCGAACUUCAUGCCUGAGAGUGAUGCAGUCUGAGCCUGAAUACAAAUCAGUCAAAACUUUCAACAAUGGAUCUCUUGGUUCCGGCAUCGAUGAAGAACGCAGCGAACUGCGAUAAGUAAUGUGAAUUGCAGAAUUCAGUGAAUCAUCGAGUCUUUGAACGCACAUUGCGCCCCCUGGCAUUCCGGGGGGCAUGCCUGUCCGAGCGUCAUUGCUGCCCUCAAGCCCGGCUUGUGUGUUGGGUCGUCGUCCCCCCCGGGGGACGGGCCCGAAAGGCAGCGGCGGCACCGUGUCCGGUCCUCGAGCGUAUGGGGCUUUGUCACCCGCUCGAUUAGGGCCGGCCGGGCGCCAGCCGGCGUCUCCAACCUUAUUUUUCUCAGGUUGACCUCGGAUCAGGUAGGGAUACCCGCUGAACUUAAGCAUAUCAAUAAGCCGGAGGAA